GGCGCUAUGGCCGAGCGGUUAAGGCGACAGAUUAGAACGAUCUGGAAAGGCAGUAUAACUAUCUGUUUCCCUAUGGGAGCGUGAGUUCAAAUCUCACUGGCGUCG